rnacentral:rRNA from 1 species
UACGAAGGGGGCUAGCGUUGCUCGGAAUCACUGGGCGUAAAGCGCACGUAGGCGGCUUUCUAAGUCAGGGGUGAAAUCCUGGAGCUCAACUCCAGAACUGCCUUUGAUACUGGAGAGCUUGAGUCCGGAAGAGGUGAGUGGAACUCCGAGUGUAGAGGUGAAAUUCGUAGAUAUUCGCAAGAACACCAGUGGCGAAGGCGGCUCACUGGCCCGGUACUGACGCUGAGGUGCGAAAGCGUGGGGAGCAAACAGGG